rnacentral:rRNA from 1 species
AUUGAACGCUGGCGGCAGGCCUAACACAUGCAAGUCGAGCGAGCGACCGACGGGUGGGUGAUGUCUGGGUGACUGCCUGAUGGAGGGAGAUAACUACUGGAAACGAUAGCCAGUUAAUCCUACCAUCGGUUGGGCACGGAUGGGAUUAGCUAGUAGGUGGGGUAAGGGCUCACCUAGCCGACGAUCCCUAGCUGGUCUGAGAGGAUGACCAGCCACACUGGAACUGAGACACGGUCCAGACUCCUACGGGAGGCAGCAGUGGGGAAUAUUGCACAAUGGGGGAAAGCCUGAUGCAGCCAUGCCGCGUGUGUGAAGAAGGCCUUCGGGUUGUAAAGCACUUUCAGCGGGGAGGCGUUACUCGCAGAAGAAGCACCGGCUAACUCCGUGCCAGCAGCCGCGGUAAUAC